UUUCGACAAAGUGCAAAACGCGGUGGUGAGAGACGAGGACACAGACAUUAAGAUUCCGCUCCAGCCCUAGAGGCACUGAGAAUCAGAACGUGAACUACUCUUCACUCCAGGCAGAAAGCAAGAGGCUUGGAUGAGUUUUAGGAAACCAGCACAGUGUCGGGCACAGAGCGCUCAAUGAAUAGAUGUGUAACAACAAAGUAGGGAUCCAACAGAGGAAGAAAUAAUUUAUUGUAAGGUGGCCUUUGGGAAAGCUCUCAGAAAGGUGGAUGAAUCACUUAAGAGGAAUGGACUCCAGCAGCAUCACAGAAUCAAAGCAACACCUAAGGAAUUCACUGUUUCUUCACAUACUUUGAACUGUGAAAACAAGAGUCAUCAUAAUAGCUGCAGUUUACUCAGUACCUACCAGGUACUGUCACCUAUACUGUCUCUAAAGCCCCUACAACCCUGAGCUAAGGAUGAUCAUAUCCCCAACUGCAGAUGAUGACACUGAAGCUCAACGGCUACUCAACUUGCCUGGAAUCCUACAGCAAGUAAGUGGUGAAGCUCGGUUUAAGUCCUGUGCCAUUUUCAACGCUUGUGUCUGGGUACGAGUACAGGGCUUCUGAGGCCACUGGGAAAUCUGCAGUGUGGUCUGAAUUUCUGUAUGCAGGAGUCUCACUUUCCCUGCCCACAGUUCUCCGUUUUCUCAUCCAUAAAAGGAGGGAUAUAAGAUGUCCUGGGGUGGGGGGGUCUCACCAACUGUGCCACUUUGAACUUGCAUUUCCUCCUUUUCAGGAUUUCUCUUAGGCACAGUUCAUAUUGUUUUAAAGCUGUCAAAGCCAGCACUCAGGGUAAGCUGGGCAAAGUUCCACAUGCCCCUGGGGCUCCCAGAUGCCCCAGGGAGCUCUCUGCCUCUGGGCCUUUGGUGUGGGGGUUGUGGAGGAGUGGAUAACCGAGGGGGAAAGGGUACAGCUCAGUGUAAGGCCCUGGCUCUGGAAUUGGACAACCUGAACUUGAAUGCUGAUCCUGUCACAAAUUAAGAGAGUGGUUUGGGCAAAUUCUUAACCUCAGUUUCCUCAACUGCAAAAUGGGGCACUGACAGCUCUUACCUCACAACUUUGUUGGGAAAGAUAGGAUGAAAUAAAGUCAUGUAAAAUCCAGUGCCUCAUAAGCACCCCCCAGGGGCUCUCUCCUGCAGGCUGUUGCUGGCUGCUGGAGGUGAAAGGGGCCUCCUGAAAGGGACUGCUCACUAUUGCUGCCAAGAACAGACCUGAUGCCAGCCUCUUUGGCCAUGGCUAAUGUCCAGCAGUCAUAGACUGUCCUGCCCGUGGGUGGGUGGCUGCAUCUUCCAGAGCCUCUGCUGAGCAGGCUGGAGGCAAGGCAGGGGAGAGGCACAGAGCAGGGCCCCAGCCUCCCAUUUGAGGUGCUGGGCCAGCUCAGAAGCUCUUGCUCUGUCCACAGCAGCAGGGCCCAGAAGGUAGGGAAGGGACCUGAUUGGAUACCCUUACUGGCCCAUGUCUGCUCUAAGCAGGAAAGAAGGCAGGGAUGGUGGACAGAAUGUAUGUUACCAAGCAACAGGCAAUGUGCUGAUACACGAUCUCAGAAUACUCAUAACGACCCUGUGAGGAAGGCGCAAUCAUCCCCCUUCCACAGGGGAGGAGACUGAUGCCCAC
rnacentral:lncRNA from 1 species